rnacentral:tRNA from 1 species
GCCUCUGUAGCUCAAUGGAAGAGCAGUUCCGUCCUAAGGAAAGGGUUGGGGGUUCGAGUCCCUCCAGGGGCACUA